UGCCUAUCUGUUUUUUAAUCGAGGUGCGCAUGCGUCAGCGUUGCAUGAAUCUUCCAUACAUUGACUUUUAUCCCUUUUUAAUGCACAGUUUUGCUGCAGAACUACUAGAUUAUAGUUUACUACGUUGUUUACAUGUGAUGCGUUCAGCAGCUGAGCCUCUCUGCAGGGAACACCCCGGAAAUCUCAUCGUGUAAGCAGCACGGCACCGGUGUGGAAUAACUUGUUGACGUUUUUCCUUCUCUACAAACAACCUGCGCAUUCUGCUAUCCCGUAAACAUUGAUGAGUGCAGAGUUUCUGGAACAAAUCUGAGGACGGCCGGGUUUCUUCACUUCUUCUCUUCUUCCUCCACUCGUGUGGCUCACCUGGUAGGGCAGGUGCACAGUGAGCCAGGAAGAAUCCUAGAUGCCAGGGUUCGUAUCCCCCCUGCGGCUGCAGUGCUGCUUUUCAGGACCAAAAAAAGCAAAAAUUUGGGAAAAAAGCUAAAAAAAAAAGAUUUUCUGCAAUUUUUCUGCUCUCCUACGCUACCUCCCUCUCCCGCCUCUCUUAUCCUACCUGCCUCUCCUACGCGACACUCCUACGUUACGCGAGCCUACUCUUCCUGCCUCACUUACUAUGAACUACCUGAACUACCUGCCUCACUUACUAUGAACUACCUGCCUCAUCUACUAUGAACUACCUGCCUCAUCUACUGUGCACUACCUGCUGCAGCUACUCUGCCUAACUCAGCUACUCGGAGAAUCGAACCCGUAUAUGCUAAGCGACAGACCCGAACUCGACACCAGCGCCUUAAUGCCGAGAACAGACCCAAUCCGGCCACCAUCACAUGUACAUGAAGACCUGUGCUCCGGGCGCAUUUAUCUUCUUCAUUUUGAGUAUUGCACUUUAAAAAUCACUAUAGCUCACGAGGACUCGAACACACAACCUCAGGUCUUCUGACCUGACACUUAUCCCACUGAGCUAUCUGUCCUGAGAUGAUUACGUUUCGAAGAGCUUAUGACCGGUUCAUUUGGGUUUUUGAAACUUAAAGAUUACUGCACCUGAAAAUCCUUGAACCCACAACCUUCAGUCUCACAGUCUGUGCUCUAUCCCUCUGAGCCACUUGACCAGUGACUGCUACAUCUCAUUUGGUAACUUAAUUCUCUACUUUGGAUCGUUAGACUUAGAAAAUGCAUGGACCUCACAGGGAUCGAACCCAAGACUCCUGCUUACCUGAGCAGCGUUGUAUCCCACUGAGCUAUUUCAUUAGUGAAAGUCUUAGGUUGUUUGGUAGAUUAUGUCACAAUGACAAUGUAAAAAAGGAAAUAGAACAAGCUAUUGUGCAGUGCAUCCAAUACAACUAUCCUUGUAAGUAUGUCAUACAAUUGUGCCACCAACAUUUUAAAAUGAAAAACUCUUCUCUGCUUUUUUCACACCAUUUUGGAUGUUUUACCUGAAAACCAGUGCAAAUAAAGAAGAUUGAACCCACAACCUCCAGUCUUCAAGGCAGUGUUUCUUCCCAGUGAGCCAUUUGACCUGGGCCAAUAAACUUUUGUUUGGUAAUGUAAUUCUGCACUUUGGGUGUUAAACUUCCAAAAAUCUAUGCACCUCAUGGGGAUCGAACCCAAAACUUCAGCUCACCUGAGCAGCGUUGUAUCACCCUGAGCUAUUAGAUUGAGACAGUGACCUGUUGUUUGGUAGAUUAUGUCACAAAUAAAAAUGUAAAUAAAAUAAGUCAUAGUGCAGUCCAUCUGAAAAAAUCUGUCCUUGUAAGUAUGUCACACAAUUGUGCCACCAACAUUUUAAAAUGAAAAACUCUUCUCUAGGCUUUUUUCACACCAUUUUGGAUGUUUUACC